rnacentral:lncRNA from 1 species
AACAGACUAGUAGUGUGGGAAGGUGGGUGAGAUUGUUCUCAUCUGAUAGGGAACAGACUAGUAGUGUGGGAAGGUGGGUGAGAUUGUUCUCAUCUGAUAGGGAACAGACUAGUAGUGUUGGAAGGAAGGUGGGUGAGAUUGUUCUCAUCUGAUAGGGAACAGACUAGUAGUGUGGGAAGGAAGGUGGGUGAGAUUGUUCUCAUCUGAUAGGGAACAGACUAGUAGUGUGGGAAGGUGGGUGAGAUUGUUCUCAUCUGAUAGGGAACAGACUAGUAGUGUUGGAAGGUGGGUGAGAUUGUUCUCAUCUGAUAGGGAACAGACUAGUAGUGUUGGAAGGUGGGUGAGAUUGUUCUCAUCUGAUAGGGAACAGACUAGUAGUGUGGGAAGGUGGGUGAGAUUGUUCUCAUCUGAUAGGGAACAGACUAGUAGUGUGGGAAGGUGGGUGAGAUUGUUCUCAUCUGAUAGGGAACAGACUAGUAGUGUUGGAAGGAAGGUGGGUGAGAUUGUUCUCAUCUGAUAGGGAACAGACUAGUAGUG